AGAAUGGAGAGUAGCCAUUUAACGGCGGGAUAAGCGACACCAAGUAAAUUUUAGCAUGGGCUGUUGGAUUAUGAUCAAGGGAAUAGUAGAUAGGUGGUUGGGUCGCUGCAAUGAGGAUAUUGUCACCUUCCUGUUGCCGUAGAUGCUGGGGCACUGGAUUGGGCAAAUGGAGUGGUUAGAUGAGGCCCACUGUACUGAAACAUUUACUCUCUUUAUUGAAAGGUUUCCAACAGGUGGUGGACCCUUAAUUAGGCCUUAACACACAAGUGGAGGAGGUAAAAUUAAUCCUGUGGCCCACCACUUGGAGCGAAAUUAAUGUGCCUCUAACCUCGGAGCCGAUCCGUUUAAACACACGGAAAUCAAAACUGUGGUCGCCGGAGAAAAGGGGAGCAUCAUCGUACUCGCAAUGUCGCUUUCUCUCGCGCUUUAAUUAUUGUUGCUUCCACUGGAAAUAAAGAAAGGUUCAAAGCACCCGUGGUUUCAGGUUAAAAGCGAUUUAUACUUCGAUACUUUGCUCCUUUUGUUGGCCGCUUGUUCGACACAGCUAAUGUCGUGGUAGUUUGUCGUGCAUAACACUGCUUGUUAAUGGUUUGUGUGAUACUUUUUUUAAAAAACUUAAUGAUGGGUAAUCAUCUUUUUAUCGA